AGAGUAAGGGUUCAAGCGUGAAGUGCCUGUGGGACGGGGAGUUGUCCACGGGACGAAAAAUCGCGUGUCGGUUUGCGGCUCGAUCCCUGCAUCCCGCU
rnacentral:ncRNA from 1 species